UGGGGAAUUUUGGACAAUGGGCGAAAGCCUGAUCCAGCCAUGCCGCGUGAGUGAAGAAGGCCUUCGGGUUGUAAAGCUCUUUUAGUCGGAAAGAAAGAGUUGCAAUGAAUAAUUGUGAUUUAUGACGGUACCGACAGAAAAAGCACCGGCUAACUACGUGCCAGCAGCCGCGGUAAUACGUAGGGUGCGAGCGUUAAUCGGAAUUACUGGGCGUAAAGGGUGCGCAGGCGGUCUUGCAAGUCAGAUGUGAAAGCCCCGGGCUGAACCUGGGAAUUGCGUUUGAAACUACAAGGCUAGAGUGCAGCAGAGGGGAGUGGAAUUCCAUGUGUAGCAGUGAAAUGCGUAGAGAUGUGGAAGAACACCGAUGGCGAAGGCAGCUCCCUGGGUUGACACUGACGCUCAUGCACGGAAGCGUGGGGAGCAAACA
rnacentral:rRNA from 1 species